rnacentral:misc_RNA from 1 species
UUUUUUUUUUUUUUUUUUUGCUUUGUUUGAUCCCUAUUUUGUUUUUUUCUUCAUUACAGAUUUAUUAUCGUUAUCGUUUCUUGCAUCUCUCGCGAAAUUCCGGGUAGGCGCGAAUUCUCCCAAUUUGUGACCUAUCAUAGAAUCUGUUAUAUAAAUAGGGAAAUGUUCCUUUCCAUUAUGAAUACCGAUUGUAUGGCCAACCAUUGGGGGUAUAAUGGUAGAUGCCCGAGACCAAGUGACUAUUAUUUCUUUCUCCUCCCCCCUUUUUAUUUUUUGAAUUUUUUUUGAUAAAUGCUUAGCUACAAAUCUUUCUUUUGCUACAAAUCUUUCUUUUGCUACAAAUYUUUUUUUUUGAUGUAUCACAGCUGAUUACUCCUUUUUUUCCAUGUUUGUUAAAGAUUGGCAUUCUAUGUCCAAUAUCUCGAUCUAAGUAU